GACGAACGCUGGCGGCGUGCCUAAUACAUGCAAGUCGAGCGAACAGACGAGGAGCUUGCUCCUCUGACGUUAGCGGCGGACGGGUGAGUAACACGUGGAUAACCUACCUAUAAGACUGGGAUAACUUCGGGAAACCGGAGCUAAUACCGGAUAACAUGUUGAACCGCAUGGUUCAACAGUGAAAGACGGUCUUGCUGUCACUUAUAGAUGGAUCCGCGCCGCAUUAGCUAGUUGGUAAGGUAACGGCUUACCAAGGCAACGAUGCGUAGCCGACCUGAGAGGGUGAUCGGCCACACUGGAACUGAGACACGGUCCAGACUCCUACGGGAGGCAGCAGUAGGGAAUCUUCCGCAAAGGGCGAAAGCCUGACGGAGCAACGCCGCGUGAGUGAAGAAGGUCUUCGGAUCGUAAAACUCUGUUAUUAGGGAAGAACAAAUGUGUAAGUAACUAUGCACGUCUUGACGGUACCUAAUCAGAAAGCCACGGCUAACUACGUG
rnacentral:rRNA from 1 species